rnacentral:lncRNA from 1 species
GCUAUAUUGAUAUCAAAUACAUAAUCUACUUAGCAAUGUCAAAAUUCAAAACUAUUUAGUUGAAGGGACAGUGCAUCUUUCAAACAUGGGUAAGAUACCAACUAAUAUCCUCAAAUGAAAAAUCUAAUUAGAGUUGUCAUAAAUAAUACAUAGGAAGAUGAACUAACUUAAGCACUCAUAUGUGAGAUUCCCAACUAAGAAAAGAAAUUGUUGACCAUCAUGCAAAUCAGAAAUACUUAAACAAAAAUAACAAACAAAGAAUAUCCUAAAAUACUAAGCUACUUGAAAGAGAAUCAGACGUAAAUGAAAACUGGAGCUUAAACAUUUGAGCAUCAAACUUGCAUUCAGCAUUUACACAUCAUCUUUAAGGUUACAAGUAUCAUUAUUCACUUCCAUUCCAAGGAUUCGAAGGUGUACCUGGAUAUUGAAACAAAGCAAAAAGGGAUGAGAAGUUCAGCAAGCAAAGAAGUAGGAGUAAAUCAGCAGCUCCCAAACAGCAAUAAUCAGCUUCUUAGACCAAUUUUAAACCCAGAAAAACAGAAGUCCUUAGAAAGCUUUGAGGUUCUUACUAACAAAGAAAAACCAAAAAACAAUUCCAAACCAUUUUUUCCAAAUAAUGCAGAAACUUUGAGUAUUUUUUAGGGUCUGAAUUUUUGAUGUUUUUCAGAACUUUUUUAGGCAGAAGAUGAUGCUCUGUGUGUGUCUGUGUGUGAGAGAAUAUUUUUCUUUUAUAGAGUGUACAAAAAGGCAUCAAAAAAGCAUAUUCUAACCUAAAAUUCUAAACUUUGAGUAUUUCUUAGGCUUUGAAUUUCUGAUGUUUUUCAAAACUUUUUUAGGCAGA